rnacentral:rRNA from 1 species
CUUCGGGGUGGAUUAGUGGCGAACGGGUGAGUAACACGUGGGCAAUCUGCCCUUCACUCUGGGACAAGCCCUGGAAACGGGGUCUAAUACCGGAUAACACUCUGUCCCGCAUGGGACGGGGUUGAAAGCUCCGGCGGUGAAGGAGGAGAGCCCGCGGCCUAUCAGCUUGUGGGGGGAUGUGGCCUAAACCAAGGCGACGACGGGUAGCCGGCCUGAGAGGGCGACCGGCCACACUGGGACUGAGACACGGCCCAGACUCCUACGGGAGGCAGCAGUGGGGAAUAUUGCACAAUGGGCGAAAGCCUGAUGCAGCGACGCCGCGUGAGGGAUGACGGCCUUCGGGUUGUAAACCUCUUUCAGCAGGGAAGAAGCGAAAGUGACGGUACCUGCAGAAGAAAAACCGGCAAAAAUUUUUGCAACCCCGGGGGAAUAAAGGUAGGGGGAGGCGUUGUCCGGAAUUAUUGGGCGUAAAGAGCUCGUAGGCGGCUUGUUGCGUCGGUUGU